GUGGGGAAUCUUCCGCAAUGGGCGCAAGCCUGACGGAGCAAUGCCGCGUGAACGAAGAAGGUCUUCGGAUUGUAAAGUUCUGUCCUUAUCGAAGAGAGGGUAUAGAGUGAAAAAUGAUAUACUAGGACGGUAGAUGAGGAGGAAGCCCCGGCUAACUACGUGCCAGCAGCCGCGGUAAUACGUAGGGGGCGAGCGUUGUCCGGAAUCACUGGGCGUAAAGGGCGCGUAGGCGGUAAUAUAAGUCAGAUGUGAAAGGUGGGGGCUCAACCCCUAGAGUGCAACUGAUACUGUAUAACUUGAGUGUGAGAGAGGGAAGCGGAAUUCCUAGUGUAGCGGUGAAAUGCGUAGAUAUUAGGAGGAACACCAGUGGCGAAGGCGGCUUUCUGGCUCAUAACUGACGCUGAGGCGCGAAAGCGUGGGGAGCAAACAGGA
rnacentral:rRNA from 1 species